rnacentral:sRNA from 2 species
GGAACCUGUCGUUGGGGUUGAACAAGACGGGAAGCAGGCGGCUAUUUCUUCCAAGGAUUGAAUUCUGAAUCAGUACAUAUCAGGCCACAGGUGUGAUAGGUAUGAUAGCUACGCAUGCCUUGCCAGUGGAUGAUCAUGUGUAGGAAUUUGGAGGCCAGUCCUGUUGGGGGUUUGGAUUGGUUCGUCCCCUCUACCACUGGCAUGGCGCUGGUGGUGAUUGAGCUCUUUUGCCCCAGUGGCCGAACAAGUCCUUCAUUGCGCCUACUGCGGAUGUUGGUAUUUUUUUGAUUGCGUUUUGCCAACGCCGUAUUACUUACCAAUACCAGGAGGGGAGAUUUUUUUUUUCGUCAGCCAGCCAUUUGUAUAGCCGGGUCACAAGGUCA